UCCCUUUUUCUCGCACAAAAUUCCCAAAGUAGAAACCGAUCGACAGCAAAUGAGAGGACAAAAUAAUCCACACAGUCAGCUUGCGUUGCAUAUUGACAGGUCUAAUAAACACUACCGGGAGGCCCGGGGCCCGUCUAGAUUUGAACACUGAAUUAGUAACCAAUACUCUUGAUUUGAAUGGUUUUGAAAUAGUUCUAUCUAAAGUAGUACUCACAGUUUAACAGGAUGAACCUGGUCCGAAGUUAUGAAACAUCUUUUAAUCACAGAGUUUAUCGUCGAGGUUUAGGUCAGGCUGAUUACAAAAUAAGUACUAAUCAAAUCAUGAGUAACUUAUUAAAAAUACAUGUUCAUACAAUGAUGUCGUGCAAAAAUGAACAUAAUUAGUAGAGUAAAAAUAUACAUGUGUUUUUUAACUAAAAAGCCAAUUAAAGUGAAGGUGAAAAUUGUAGUUAUAAUUUGUGCGCUUCUGAAACUUUUGUUAGUGGUGAUGAAGUGUAUUACAACACAUUUAAAGUCAGGAAACACGGAUUUUGUGCAUAUUUGAAGACAAAACAUGUUAUUAUUAGUCGUUAAAGUCAAUAUGUCAUCUUUUUCUGCUCACGUUCUUCCCUUUUGGUGUUUAUUUUGUUUGUUUUAUUCCUAGAAUAUGACACAAGUCAAUCAAAAGUCCAAUCCAGUUUAAGGCCAUUUGUUUAAAUAUCCCUCUUGACCACAGAACUGUUUCCAGAGUUCAAUAAAAAUACAAUAAAACAAAAAAGACUAAUCGAUAAAAUAUAAAAAAAAACAAUAAAAGACACAUCAAUAAAAUAGAACUAAACAAAACUGACCAAACAAUGAAAGACGAAUCAGUAAAAAAUCUCAUUCAAUAAGAAAGAAUAAAUCAAUACAAGACAAAUCAAUAAAAUAGAAUAAACAAUAAAAAAAAUCAAUAAAAUAGAGCAAAACAAUAAUACAGAGAAACUUAACAAAUGCAUUACAUUAAUAAAGCAUUAAAAUAAAGAAGUUAAAUCACAAAUCGAUAAACUGGAAAUGAUCAAAUACAAUUUGAUAAAAUAUAUAAAACGAAAAAAGACAAAUCAAUAAAAUGUGAUAAAACAAGUAAAAAUUUAAAUCAGUAAAAUAGAAUAAAACAAAGAAGACAAAUUAAUAAAAAAACAAAACAAUAAAAGACACAUCAAAAAAUUUUAAUAAAACAAAAGAGACGAAUCAAUAAAAUAAAACAAUAAAAGACAAAUCAAUAAAAUAUGAUAAAACAAGUAAAACUGUGAAUCAAUAAAAAUACAAUAAAACAAAAAAGACUAAUCGAUAAAAUAUAAAAAAAAAAACAAUCAAAGACCCAUCAAUAAAAUAGAACUAAACAAAACCGACCAAACAAUGAAAGACGAAUCAGUAAAAAAUCUCAUUCAAUAAGAAAGAAUAAAUCAAUACAAGACAAAUCAAUAAAAUAGAAUAAACAAUAAAAAAAAUCAAUAAAAUAGAGCAAAACAAUAAUACAGAGAAACUUAACAAAUGCAUUACAUUAAUAAAGCAUUAAAAUAAAGAAGUUAAAUCACAAAUCGAUAAACUGGAAAUGAUCAAAUACAAUUUGAUAAAAUAUAUAAAACGAAAAAAGACAAAUCAAUAAAAUGUGAUAAAACAAGUAAAAAUUUAAAUCAGUAAAAUAGAAUAAAACAAAGAAGACAAAUUAAUAAAAAAACAAAACAAUAAAAGACACAUCAAAACAUUUUAAUAAAACAAAAGAGACGAAUCAAUAAAAUAAAACAAUAAAAGACAAAUCAAUAAAAUAUGAUAAAACAAGUAAAACUGUGAAUCAAUAAAAAUACAAUAAAACAAAAAAGACUAAUCGAUAAAAUAUAAAAAAAAAAACAAUCAAAGACCCAUCAAUAAAAUAGAACUAAACAAAACCGACCAAAGAAUAAAAUAAACAAUGAAAGACAAAUCAGUAAAAUAUGAUAGAACGGGUAAAAAUCUCAUUCAAUAAGAAAGAAUAAAUCAAUAGAAAACAAAUCAAUAAAAUAGAGCAAAACAAUAAUACAGAGAAACAAAACAAAUGCAUUACAUUAAUAAAGCAUUAAAAUAAACAAGUUAAAUCACAAAUCGAUAAAAUGGAAAUGAUAAAAUACAAUUUGAUAAAAUAUAUAAAACAAAAAAAGACAAAUCAAUAAAAUGUGAUAAAACAAGUAAAAAUAUGAAUCAGUAAAAUAGAAUAAAACAAAGACAAAUCAGUAAAAAAAAAAACAAUAAAAGACAUCAAAAAAUAGAAUAAAACAAAAGACGAAUCAAUAAAAUAAAACAAUAAAAGACAAAUCAAAAAAAUAUGAUAAAACAAGAAAAACUGUGAAUCGAUAAAAAUACAAUAAAACAAAAAAGACUAAUCGAUAAAAUAUAAAAAAAAAACAAUUAAAGACCCAUCAAUAAAAUAGAACUAAACAAAACCGACCGAACAAUAAAAUAAACAAUGAAAGACAAAUCAGUAAAAUAUGAUAAAAGGAGUAAACAUUUUAUUCAAUAAGAAAGAAUAAAUCAAUAGAAGACAAAUCAAUAAAAUAGAAUAAACAAAACAAAUCAAUAAAAUAGAGCAAAACAAUAAUACAGAGAAACAAAACAAAUGCAUUACAUUAAUAAAGCAUUAAAAUAAACAAGUUAAAUCACAAAUCGAUAAAAUGGAAAUGAUCAAAUACAAUUUGAUAAAAUAUAUAAAACGAAAAAAGGCAAAUCAAUAAAAUGUGAUAAAACAAGUAAAAAUGUAAAUCAGUAAAAUAGAAUAAAACAAAGAAGACAAAUCAAUAAAAAACAAAACAAUAAGACAUCAAAAAAUUUAAAAAAACAAAAGACGAAUCAAUAAAAUCAAACAAUAAAAGACAAAUCAACAAAAUAUGAUAAAUCAAGUAAAACUGUGAAUCAAUAAAAAUACAAUAAAACAAAAAAGACAAAUCGAUAAAAUGUAGAAAAAAAACAAUACAAGACACAUCAAUAAAAUAGAACUAAACAAAACCGACCAAACAAUAAAAUAAACAAUGAAAGACAAAUCAGUAAAAUAUGAUAAAACGAUUUAUUCAAUAAGAAAGAAUAAAUCAAUAGAAAACAAAUCAAUAAAAUAGAGCAAAACAAUAAAAAGGUCUUAGUUGGUCAUCAAAAGAAAUUUAAUUAAUAUACUUUAACUGAUUAGCUUGCAUGGAAAAAAAACACACUAUAUAUAUAUAUAUUUAUAUAUAUUAUUAUUGUAAUUUUUUUUUACAAUUUUAAUAUUGCAAAAAAUGUGGUAAAAGUGUGUGUUAGUUUCGCUCAUGUUUGCCGGCAUCUUCUGGCUCCAAACACUUCCUGCUCCUCUGAGGCCCAGCGAGCGUAAAAUAUGGGAAAACCCACUAAAAGAAGGGUUAGGAUCGUGGUUUCUUUCCGGAAAGAUCUUUGGACACAAACGUGAUCUCUCUGCUGAAAACCUGUAAAAAAACAAAACACACAAAAUGUUGAACUUCUGCUGAUGUUUCAUGCGUGAAAAUCCCGUGCUUCGUGCUCCUUCGCCGUGUCCAAACACUAAAGUUGAUUCCUCCGGCUCUCAUGCGAGGUCGUCUUACAUUAACGCCACAGGGUGCCUUGCGCUGGAACAGGAAGUGGCGUUUGUUGGCGAGCAGGAAGUCAUCUUUUCAGGAAGUGUCACCUUCUUCACCUUUCAAUUGUCGCUGACUUCUUCUUCUUCACUUGACUGCCUCCAUAUUUACUCACACUUCUUUCUGUUCCACGUCUGACCUUUAACCCGAACCAGCCGGCCCACCAGACCGCACCCAGCGUUGAUCUACCAAGACCGAAAACGUCCUGAGUGGAGCGUGUUGCCAUGGCGACAGGUGGCCCCCGCUAUGUUGUCAGGAUGUGCCCCCCCCCGCAUAUCUUCAUAGUCGGGCCGCUCCCAAUCCGUCUCCACGCCACUCUUCUUUCUCUCUCUUCUUCCCUCCCUCUUGUCUUUUAUCAGCGCCAAAUCCAAUAUGUCAGGCCUGCCCGGGAGCGUCGUGUCUGGGAGCCUCAGAAGCCGCCGCCCGGGGGCCCCGCGCUUCCCCCCCCCCCCCCUCCCGCCCCCCUUCGCCGCCGUGUGAUGUUCCGCCCUCUAAUUGGGCGGCGGCGUGGAGAAGGAGGUGAUGUUCCUGGAUGUGAUGCAAAACCAUCCUCCAUCCUUACAUUCAUCCAUCCGUCUGUUCGUCCAUCUAUCAGAAUCAAGGAAGCGCGGCGCCUGCGCUCGGCCGCCUCAGUCUGGAUGCGCCGACUCAGCGCGAGGCUCCGAUGGGUCUUUAGCGGCGAGUGAUGAGUGAGGGCGAGCGGGAUCACACCGAGAUGAAAAAUGCAUCUUAGUCUCUGAAGCCGAGAGGGAAUCACAACACGCGUUUGGACUCUUGAAACUGCAGUGUGUCAACUUGUAUUCAUACAUGCAGAGGUUUUGCCGUCACUUCUGAAGAGGUUUUGAGACAUUUCCUACAACUAUAUCACCAGUAUUGUGCGGCUGAAGCAAGUUCGUUUUUUGGAAUUUUUGCGAAAGACAUUUUCUCGAAAUAAAGUUUUCCAAAAAUAUGCAAAUUCUGCCCUUUUCGGGUUUUGUCGGCACUUCUGAAGAGGUUUUGAGACAUUUCCCACAA